rnacentral:rRNA from 1 species
UACGUAGGGGGCAAGCGUUGUCCGGAAUCAUUGGGCGUAAAGAGCGCGUAGGCGGUCCGGUAAGUCCGCUCUGAAAGUCCGGGGCUCAACCCCGGGAGGCGGGCGGAUACUGUCGGGCUAGAGUCCGGAAGAGGCGAGUGGAAAUUCCUGGUGUAGCGGUGAAAUGCGCAGAUAUCAGGAGGAACACCAAUGGCGAAGGCAGCUCGCUGGGACGUACUGACGCUGAGGCGCGAAAGCGUGGGGAGCAAACAGG